AUCAUGAGAAUCAUAGUCACCCCACCGAAGCUGCACAUCUAUCCAGUAUUUGUUGCUAGCUUUCUGGUCAAACACAUCCUUUGAUUCAGCCACAAGACUAGGUUUUGACAUUGGCCAUCUAUGCGCAGCAAAGAGAAGGAUGUCAGCACACGAGCUAUUCAUUUUGUAACUCUUUCUUGGAUGAAUCGUCUCCUUCUGUACAGUUUCAAUUUCCAAUGCAUCCAACUCUUGAUCCAAAACUUGGCAGAGAUCCAUGACAACA
rnacentral:misc_RNA from 1 species